CCUACGGGUGACAGCAGUGGGGAAUAUUGCACAAUGGGCGAAAGCCUGAUGCAGCAACGCCGCGUGAAGGAAGACGGUUUUCGGAUUGUAAACUUCUGUUCUUAGUGAAGAAUAAUGACGGUAACUAAGGAGCAAGCCACGGCUAACUACGUGCCAGCAGCCGCGGUAAUACGUAGGUGGCAAGCGUUGUCCGGAAUUACUGGGUGUAAAGGGAGCGUAGGCGGGAAGCCAAGUCAGCUGUGAAAACUACGGGCUUAACCUGUAGACUGCAGUUGAAACUGGCUUUCUUGAGUGAAGUAGAGGUUGGCGGAAUUCCUGGUGUAGCGGUGAAAUGCGUAGAUAACAGGAGGAACACCAGUGGCGAAGGCGACUUACUGGACUGUAACUGACGUUGAGGCUCGAAAGCGUGGGGAGCAAACAGGAUUAGAUACCCUAGUAGUC
rnacentral:rRNA from 1 species